rnacentral:rRNA from 1 species
GACGAACGCUGGCGGCGUGCUUAACACAUGCAAGUCGAACGGAAAGACCCUGCUUUUGUGGGUUGCUCGAUUGGCGAACGGGUGAGUAACACGUGAGUAACCUCCCCUUGACUUUGGGAUAACUUCAGGAAACUGGGGCUAAUACCGGAGAGGAGCUCCUGCACCAUGGUGUGGGUUGGAAAGUUUCGGCGGUGGGGGAUGGACUCGCUGCUUAUCAGCUGGUUGGUGGGGUAGGGGCUUACCAAGCGUUUGACGGGUAGCCGGCCUGAGAGGGUGACCGGCGACAUUGGGACUGAGAUACGCACCAGACUCCUACGGGCGGCAGCAGUGGGGAAUAUUGCACAAUGGGGGGAAGUCUGAUGCAGCAGCGCCGGGUUCGGGAUACCGGGCUUUGGGUUGUAAACCGAUUUCGCCGGUGACGAAGCGUGAGUGACGGUAAUGGGUAAAGAAGCACCGGCUAACUACGUG